rnacentral:rRNA from 1 species
UACGUAGGGUGCAAGCGUUGUCCGGAAUUAUUGGGCGUAAAGAGCUCGUAGGCGGUCUGUCGCGUCGGAUGUGAAAAUCCAGGGCUCAACCCUGGACCUGCAUUCGAUACGGGCAGACUAGAGUUCGGUAGGGGAGACUGGAAUUCCUGGUGUAGCGGUGAAAUGCGCAGAUAUCAGGAGGAACACCGGUGGCGAAGGCGGGACUCUGGGCCGAUACUGACGCUGAGGAGCGAAAGCGUGGGGAGCGAACAGG